rnacentral:lncRNA from 1 species
CUUGAAAAUUAAAAAAUAAUUAAAAAAAGGCAAAAUGCACCCGUUUAGAGUAAGUUUCCCGAAACAAAAUUUGUUCCAAGUGUAACACUUUCCCUUCUUCACAUCCUUAGUCACAAUGAAACCCUCUCAACUUUGGAAACCCUAUAUCGAACCCUCACUCAUGCAGUCCACACUCUGCUGUUCAAUAGACAUUCUACCA